rnacentral:misc_RNA from 1 species
UUUCCGUAGGUGAACCUGCGGAAGGAUCAUUAAUGAGUUGUCAUGGGGUUCGAUGCUGGCAGCCAGUUUUUGGAUGCAUGUGCUUGCCCUAACAAUCAUCUUCUUCCAAACACCUAUGCACAUUUUUGAGGGAGUCUUGAGUUGGUUGCCGCUCUUGGGUGAUUUUCUCACAUUCCCUUAAAUCAUUAUACGCUAUUAACAAUGUUGAACGUGCUCUGUGCCGCAAGGCCAUUAAUAUAAUACAACUUUUAACAACGGAUCUCUUGGCUCUC